rnacentral:rRNA from 1 species
UACGUAGGGGGCAAGCGUUGUCCGGAUUUAUUGGGCGCAAAGAGCGUGUAGGCGGCCAUACAGGUCAGCUGUGAAAACUCGAGGCUCAACCUCGAGACGUCGGUUGAAACCGUAUGGCUAGAGUCCGGAAGAGGAGAGUGGAAUUCCCGGUGUAGCGGUGAAAUGCGCAGAUAUCGGGAAGAACACCGAUGGCGAAGGCAGCCCCCUGGGCUGACACUGACGCUCAGGCACGAAAGCGUGGGGAGCAAACAGG